rnacentral:rRNA from 1 species
UACGUAGGUGGCAAGCGUUGUCCGGAUUUAUUGGGUUUAAAGGGUGCGUAGGCGGCCCUGUAAGUCAGUGCUGAAAUAUCCCAGCUUAACUGGGAGGGUGGCAUUGAUACUGCGGGGCUAGAGUACAGAUGAGGUAGGCGGAAUUGACGGUGUAGCGGUGAAAUGCGUAGAUAUCGUAAGGAAGACCAGUGGCGAAGGCGGGUCUCUGGACAGUUCCUGACGCUGAGGCACGAAGGUCAGGGGAGCAAACGGG